GUGAGUCAUCGAAUCUUUGAACGCACCUUGCACCCUUUGGCAUUCCGAAGGGUAUGCUCGUUUGAGUGUCAUUGUACUCUCACACUCCCGAUCGUUCGAUUGGGAGCGGUGGACUUGGGUGUUGCUGCUUGCCGUGGCUCACCUCAAAUGGUUCGUGCACCUCUUGGUUGGACAUAGUACGGCGUGAUAAGUGUCUUCGCCGGCGCCUCAGUAGAGGGUGGCCGAUCGGGAGCUCUGUGCUUCCAACCGUCCUCGGACAACGACUGACAACUUGACCUCAAAUCGAGUAGGACCACCCGCUGAACUUAAGCAUAUCAAUAAGCGGAGG
rnacentral:rRNA from 1 species